ACUACCCUCCGCUUUCGGGGAUAUGCGAGAGGGCAAGCCUCGGCCAUGCCGAAAAUCAAAUCAAGCACGCGGCUGGUAGCACAUUGCGAACGCCGCCA
ncrna:Bifidobacterium longum subsp. infantis 157F RT-19 RNA